UAAGCGGAGGAAAGAAACUAACCAGGAUUUCCCGAGUAACGGCGAGUGAAACGGAAAUAGCCCAGCUUGAAAAUCGGGGCGCCUUGUGCGCUUUGAAUUGUAGUCUGGAGAAGGGUCCUCUGUAGCGGACCGGGCUUAUGUUCCUUGGAAAGGGACGCCAGAGAGGGUGAGAGCCCCGUCUGGCCCGGACCCUGCUACGUUACGAGGCUCUUUCAACGAGUCGGGUUGCUUGGGAAUGCAGCCUCAAUCGGGUGGUAAAUCCCAUCCAAGGCUAAAUACUGGUGAGAGACCGAUAGAGCACAAGUACCGCGAGGGAAAGAUGAAAAGGACUUUGAAAAGAGAGUCAAAAAGUGCUUGAAAUUGCUGGGAGGGAAGCGGAUGGAUGCCUUGGUUGCCUGCGUGAUGUGGGUGGAACGGCCCUCGGGCUGGUCCGCCGAUGCAUCACGUGGGCUCACCAGUGUGGGGGGAGGCGGCGGGACAAAGACCUGGGGCUUGCCCCACGGUUGAUGCCGCUGCCUCCCUUCAGGCUAAGGGCGGCGCGCCUCCUCGGAGGCGGACCGAAAGGUCCGGCGUCGCCCGGAUGCUGGUGGCACGGUUUUUCCAUUCGACCCGUCUUGAAACACGGACCAAGGAGUCUAACAUGUAUGCGAGCCUGCGGGUGUAAAACCUUGUUAGGCGUAAGGAAACUGAUCAGUGGGAUCCCGCUUGGGUGCACCAUUGACCGACCUUGAUCUUUUGAGAAAGGUUCGAGUGAUAGUAUACCUGUUAGGACCCGAAAGAUGGUGAACUAUGCCUGAGCAGGGCGAAGUCAGAGGAAACUCUGAUGGAGGCUCGCAGCGAUACUGACGUGCAAAUCGUUCGUAUGACUUGGGUAUAGGGGCGAAAGACUAAUCGAACCAUCUAGUAGCUGGUUCCCCCCGAAGUUUCCCUCAGGAUAGCUGGAGCUCUCUUCCGAGUUUUGUCAGGUAAAGCGAAUGAUUAGAGGCAUCGGGGGUGAAACACCCUCGACCUAUUCUCAAACUUUAAAUAGGCAAGGCGGCGGGGUUGCUUUACUGAACCCCGCCCUCGAAUCGGAGCUCCAAGUGGGCCAUUUUUGGUAAGCAGAACUGGCGAUGCGGGAUGAACCGAA
rnacentral:rRNA from 1 species